CCUCAUACAGAUACACAAUUGGUUCAACUACAAAAUUCUAGGUUUGAGCUACAAAUCUAGUCAUGGUAUUAUAUCCCGGACAUUCUCCAAGGGUAUAAACAAUCAUAGCACAUCUGGACAUCUUCGUUUUCCCAUCCACCUCAUCUUUAUCCAGUUACACUACUGUCUCUCCAUCUACAAUCUGGGGUGGUAUAUAUUGAAGGGAUAAACCAUUCUUCGCAGCUCAAUUUCACUUAAACAAUUUCACCCAAGAACCCUUAGGUUGCUAGUCUUGCUCAAUUUCUGUAACUGUUGGGUCAUCAGUCUCAGGAAUUUUUAGAUCUGCUUCAGUAAUGUGUAUAGAAUUAGGGCUAUCUAUAGGUGAAUCAAAAUCAACACCACUCAACUGUAACUUUUGAUUAGGCCUAGUGUUGUUCGAAGUCAUCCCUAUCUCAUGAACUCCUGUUUGAAUCGAGUGAAUAGAUGUUAAGACUUUGCGAAGCUCCUCCUAUACCAUUAGACGUAUGUGUACUUGCCACAUUGGGUCGCUCAGUUAGUGUGGGUGGAAUUAUUCCAGGUCAUCCCCAUUCUCGUCCUCUUCCUCAUCCCCUCACCAUGGAUUUUGCACAGACGCUAGUUAGCUAACAUAUGUCAGCUCUCUUUUUUAGGUUUACUUUGAUAUGUGAAUUUUAAAGCUUAAACUUUGAUAAUUAGGUGUGUUGUACAUAAGUACUAUUUCGAAUGGAUGAUAUCUCAAAAGAUUUGAAAUAUCAUGAGAAAUUCAUGUUGGAUUCAUAGAAGUGUGAAUGGAAAAUAGAGAAAAAAAAUAGUGG
rnacentral:lncRNA from 1 species